GUGCCCUCCACGCGGCAGUCAGGGCGGCACCACCUGGUGCGGCAGCUCAGAGCUCCGCUGCCACCCUCCUGGCCACAGCCAAUGCUACCACCAAUGCCACAGCCAGUCUCACAGCUGCUGGUCUGGCAGCAGGUUGGCUGGGAGCAGGUUGGCUGGCAGCAGCUGGUCUGGCAGCAGGUUGGCUGGCAGCAGCUGGAGCCACAGGUCCCACCAGUGGAACAAGUGGGAAAUCCACAGAAGCUGGUAGAGCAACAG